rnacentral:rRNA from 1 species
AACUAACGCUGGCGGCGUGCCUAACACAUGCAAGUCGUACGAGAAAGUUGGCUUCGGCCGAUGAGUAAAGUGGCGCACGGGUGAGUAAUGCGUGGAUAAUCUGCCCUUUAGUUGGGAAUAACGUACCGAAAGGUGCGCUAAUACCUGAUAAUACUGCAUAACUACUGUUGUGUAGUCAAAGAAGGCCUCUGUUUACAAGCUUUUGCUGAAGGAUGAGUCCGCGUACCAUUAGCUGGUUGGUGGGGUAAUGGCCUACCAAGGCUACGAUGGUUAGCUGGUCUGAGAGGAUGAUCAGCCACACUGGAACUGAGACACGGUCCAGACUCCUACGGGAGGCAGCAGUGAGGAAUAUUGCGCAAUGGGGGCAACCCUGACGCAGCAACGCCGCGUGAGUGAGGAAGGUUUUCGGACCGUAAAGCUCUGUCGAGCGGGAAGAAAUGCAUGGUGGCUAAUAUCCAUCAUGCUUGACGGUACCGCUAAAGG